GUGAAGCUGAAUGGCAUGAAGGAUCAGAUGCUGGAGAUUUGUCCUGCAUUCCUCAUGUCUGCUGCUUCAGUCCUGUUGAAAUGCUGUGAAUGUGCAGUGCAGUGUGUUGUGUGUGUGUUUGUGAAUGUGUUGUGUUUGUCUCCUGCAGCUGGUCCCACAGUGAAGCCCUCAGUGUCUCUGCUGCCGCCCUCUUCUCUGCAGAUCUCUGGAGACUCAGCCGCACUGCUCUGCCUGCUCAGCUCUUACUCUCCACAGGGGGCGCUGGUGAGCUGGACACUGGACGGGUCAGAGGUCACCGAGGGGGUUCUGACCAGCGCAGAGAGCCAGCAGGACGGCCGCUACAGCCGCAGUAGCGUCCUGACCCUCAGCAAAGCACGCUGGGAAGAGGGAGAGCUGUACGUCUGCAGAGUAACACAUGAUGGAGCUCCUCAUGAGGUCUCGUUCCACAAGAGCUCUGAGUGCUGAUGUUUCUCUCCUGAAGAUGAGCCGUAUCUGAGUGUCCUGUGUCAGGCAGGAUUCACAUGAGUCUAGUGCUGCAGCUGUAGUGCUUUACAACUCCAUACUGAGAGAGUGUGUGUGAGUGUGUG